rnacentral:misc_RNA from 1 species
GUGCUUCAAGAGCCACAAAUAAAAGUGGAUUUCUUCUCUCCCCAUCUGUGUGAAUAAAUUAAGGAGCUUUUUUUGAAGACAAAUCCGAUGCAAAAUAGAAAUAGAUUUGGCAGAUCAACCGUUUGUUGUGUUCUUGCAUGAAGGAUCUGAGUGAGUUUCUUUGUUUCUUCAUGUAAGUGAGAGAUUUGGCCUCUGGGUUUUGUGCUUUAACAGUUGUGUUUGGUGGAAAAGAAUGCUUCGGGUUAAAGAGCUAAUGACCAUGUCGCUGCCCCUUCUAACUACAUGAGAGUGAGAGACUAUCAGGGCUUUCUUUCUUCCUCGUCCUUCUUCCCCUGAGGUGUUGUGUUAUGAGAUGCCAUGAUUGUGUACUUUUCGAUGUUGUUUCUCAGCUUAGAUCUGUGUUGCUCAACACUUAGGUGUUAUUGUGCUAGGGUCAUCUUGUAUGACCCUAGCCGGAGCUUCAGUACUUUUGGUCUCCCAUCCGUCCGAUGAAGAGGUGAUUUCCUUAACUAUGUUCUUCUUGUAAUGUUGGUUGUCUUCAUCUGUUCGAGUUAUCGAGUUGAACACUAAACCUAUUUUAGUCAAGAAUUCUUUGAGUGCCAAUUGGAAUUUGGAUUGAAAUUGUAAUGUCUAGGCUCUUUUAGACCAU